rnacentral:rRNA from 1 species
UUAAGUGAAUAAGGGCGUACGGUGGAUGCCUAGGCACUUGGAACUGAAGAAGGACGCAACAAACGGCGAAACGCGACGGGGAGUGGUACGUACACAAAGAUCCGUCGAUAUCCGAAUGGGGAAACCCGGCAGCAGUAAUGAGCUGUCACCCAUGAGUGAAUACAUAGCUCAUGAGGGAGGUACCCGGAGAACUGAAACAUCUAAGUAUCCGGAGGAAAAGAAAAUAAGAAUGAUUCCGUAAGUAGCGGCGAGCGAACGCGGAGGAGCCCAAACCAGAUCUUGAUCUGGGGUUGUAGGACCACGAAAUGGCAAGAGCAUGGCUAAGAGAACGGCAUUGAAAGGCCGACCGGAGAGGGUGCAAGUCCCGUAACUGAAAGUCUAGCGAAGCCUAGUGGUAUCCUGAGUACGGCGAGACACGAGAAAUCUUGUCGGAAGCAGGCGGGACCAUCCGUCAAGGCUAAAUAUACCCAAGUGACCGAUAGUGAACCAGUACCGUGAGGGAAAGGUGAAAAGAACCGCGGGAGCGGAGUGAAAUAGAACCUGAAACCGUAUGCUUACAAGAAGUCAGAGCCCGUUAAAGGGUGAUGGCGUGCCUUUUGUAGAAUGAACCGGCGAGUUACGUUAUCGUGCGAGGUUAAGUAGAAGAUACGGAGCCGAAGCGAAAGCGAGUCUUAAUAGGGCGACAGUACGAUGAUGUAGACCCGAAACCGUGUGAUCUAGCCAUGACCAGGUUGAAGUUCAGGUGAAACUGAAUGGAGGACCGAACCGACCCCCGUUGAAAAGUUGGCGGAUGAGUUGUGGCUAGGGGAGAAAUUCCAAUCGAACACGGAUAUAGCUGGUUCUCCCCGAAAUAGCUUUAGGGCUAGCGUCGAGGUAGAGUCGCAUGGAGGUAGAGCACUGAAUGUACGAUGGCCCCAUCCCGGGGUACUGAGUAUAAUCAAACUCCGAAUGCCAUGCAGACAUACUCGGCAGUCAGACUGUGGGUGAUAAGGUCCAUGGUCAAAAGGGAAACAGCCCAGACCGCCAGUUAAGGUCCCAAAAUGUAUGCUAAGUGGAAAAGGAUGUGGGGAUGCACAGACAACUAGGAGGUUGGCUCAGAAGCAGCCAUCCUUCAAAGAGUGCGUAACAGCUCACUAGUCGAGUGACCCUGCGCCGAAAAUGUACCGGGGCUAAGCAUACUACCGAAGCUGCGGAUUCAACUUCAGAGUUGAGUGGUAGGGGAGCGUUGCAUGCACGUAGAAGCCGUACCGUAAGGAGCGGUGGAGAGCAUGGAAGAGAGAAUGCCGGUGUGAGUAGCGAGAUGUAGGUGAGAAUCCUACACACCGAUAGCCCAAGGAUUCCAGGGGAAGGUUCGUCCGCCCUGGGUAAGUCGGGACCUAACGCGAGGCCGAAAGGCGUAGUGGAUGGAAAACAGGCAGAUAUUCCUGUACCCGCGAUGGAAAUGAAGGAAUGACGGAGAAGGCUAGUGUGAGCCACUGAAUGGAUUGUGGUCGAAGCAUAUAGCAGGCUGACAGUGAAAUGCGUCAGCGGGAUGUAAGAUGUGACAGGUAAGGGAACGUCCUUGGACAAGUACUGAAGCACAUGAUGCCAGCUUCCAAGAAAAGUUUCUAGUGAUAAUUCCAUAGCGGCCCGUACCAAAACCGACACAGGUGGGCAAGGAGAGAAUCCUGAGGUGAGCGAGAGAACUGUUGCCAAGGAACUCGGCAAAAUGACUCCGUAAGUUAGCGAUAAGGAGUGCUCUUGUAAAAGAGAGCCGCAGUGAAGAGGCCCAAGCGACUGUUUAACUAAAACACAGCUCUCUGCAAAGUCGCAAGACGAAGUAUAGGGGGUGACGCCUGCCCGGUGCUGGAAGGUUAAGAGGAUUUGUCAUCCGCAAGGAGAAGCAAUGAAUUGAAGCCCCAGUGAACGGCGGCCGUAACUAUAACGGUCCUAAGGUAGCGAAAUUCCUUGUCAGGUAAG